GAUUAACGCUGGCGGCGUGCAUAACACAUGCAAGUCGAACGAAGUGGCGGACGGGUGAGUAACGAGUGAGUAACCUGCCUUAGAGAAGGGGAUAGCCUUUGAAAACGAAGAAUAAUACCCUAUGCUCUAAGAGUGACUUGCGUCUGAUUAGUUAGUUGGUGGGGUAACGGCCCACCAAGACAGCGAUCAGUAGCCGGCUUGAGAGAGUGUACGGCCACAUUGGGACUGAGACACGGCCCAUACUCUACGGGAGGCAGCAGUGGGGAAUGUCGCACAAUGGGGGAAACUCGGAGGCAGCGACGCCGCGUGAUUUAGAAGGCCUUCGGGUUGUAAAAAUCUUUUCUAUGGGAAGCAGUACCAUAGGAAUAAGGACCGGCUAAUUACGUGCCAGCAGCCGCGGUAAUUC
rnacentral:rRNA from 1 species